GUUCUCAGUCUUCCCUGCAUCCCACCCCAGUCAGACCUGGAGAUCAAACCACUCUGUAUCAGGGAUGUGAAAGAUUAACCAGUUAAUCGGCUAAUUGGCCGAACCACUUCCUUGGGCCCCUGCUGAGACUGCCACUCAGGACAGCGACCCUCCUCCACUGGACUGAGACCAGCUUCUCAUCUCAUGCUGGUUACUGAACAGCCCGCCAGACGCUCCCUGUCCUGCACUUGUGACAUUAUGAUCAUCUCCAUGGCAACCGAUUAUGAUGAUAUAAAUAAGCCCUUACGACAUCAUAUUGCACAGAGGAGAAGGAGAGAGAGAUGCACCACAAGGGAAAAAGCAAUUGUUAAUAUGCAGCCGAUUGCAGAUCAUUCUGACUCUCCACAAAGGAAGCAA